UCUGCCUAUUAACUCUCUUU
rnacentral:siRNA from 1 species